GACGAACGCUGGCGGCGUGCCUAAUACAUGCAAGUAGAACGCUGAAGAGAGGAGCUUGCUCUUCUUGGAUGAGUUGCGAACGGGUGAGUAACGCGUAGGUAACCUGCCUGGUAGCGGGGGAUAACUAUUGGAAACGAUAGCUAAUACCGCAUAAAAUGGAUUAUCGCAUGAUAAUCCAUUGAAAGGUGCAAAUGCAUCACUACCAGAUGGACCUGCGUUGUAUUAGCUAGUUGGUGGGGUAACGGCUCACCAAGGCGACGAUACAUAGCCGACCUGAGAGGGGGAGCGGCCACACUGGGAAUGAGACACGGCCCAGACUCCUACGGGAGGCAGCAGUAGGGAAUCUUCGGCAAUGGACGGAAGUCUGACCGAGCAACGCCGCGUGAGUGAAGAAGGGUUUCGGAUCGGAAAGCUCGGUUGUAAGAGAAGAACGAGUGUGAGAGUGGAAAGUUCACACUGUGACGGUAUCUUACCAGAAAGGGACGGCUAACUACGUG
rnacentral:rRNA from 1 species